UUUUUAAGUUAGGUAGCUUACUCUUUUCAUUAACAGUAAGAAGAUGUACAAAAUCUUUUAUCAAGAAAAACAAGAUAUGCAUCUUAACAGUGAACUGAUUUUUGAAGGAUCUUCUUGAACACAAGGAUCCACGAACUCUGAUGUUUAUCUCUUCUCCAAGUGCAAAAGAUUUUCAAAGUAUGACUAGUAGAGUCAAGCUUAAAAAAAAAAACGCCAAACUCUAAAUAGACCACUAUAUGUAAUAAAGUAAUAAGUGACAACUGAACUUAAAAGCUAGAGUCCAGUCGAGGGAGAGUAUUGGAGUCCUGCAUUGAAACAGAUAUUCGCUUGCUAAUUACCUUAACUGAUCUACGUUAACCAUACUUAACUCAUCAAACGGCUCCUUUUCCUCGCUUAAUUGCAAUUCACCGGUGAGCGCAUCGUUUUUGGGCGGAGAUAAAUCAUAGAUCAAUCUCUAUUAAAUUAUCUUCUUCAACCUCAAAACCCAAACCCGGUUGCUUCUUGUCAUUGCUAUCGAGAGCUAUCUCUAUCAACAAGCCCGCUUUAUCUUCCUCUUCCCAUCUAAAGCAAACGCUCUCCGGGGAAUCCCAUUCUCCGUUCACCCAAAAACCGCCAUCAGAGGAGGUAUCCGAGUCCGUUUCUGGAUAGUACAUUGACAAAGAUGGGUACCUCUCCAAAGCUGCAGUCCUGGUAGGAUCAGAAUCCUCAUGCUUCUCAUUGUCAUUCUCUUCAUCUUCUUCACCUUCGUAAGCUUCGUAUAUGACCUCUAAUGGUGCCCUCAUGUCCCAUUCAACAAAUGACACCUCAAAAUCCGGUUUUGGAUUCGAGUCAAUGCCUGUUUCACCUUGGAAUGCAACCCAUUUGUCUUCUUUGGCCAAAAAACUAGACUUUUCUGCUUCAUCUAAAUCUCCGUCCCUGUUGUUUUCUUUGCUCUCAUUUUCAUCUGGCUUUUUAUUAUGUAGUCUCUGAAUGGCGCCGAGGCGAAGGAGAAAGAGCAAGAGAAGGGCACUGAGGAUCAAAACUGUGGAGAGAGAGAUUUUGAGAGCGUGAGGGAAGUAGAUCAGAAUUAGAGCGUAGAGAGUGAUAAUGCAAGAAAAGAGAGGAUUAGAGGAGAGAUGGAAAAUAGUUUCAGAGGAAAUUGCACUCAUGAUCUCGACGCGAAUCAAAGCUGAAACGGAGUUGAAUUCCCAUGGGAUUUCAUUUCCUUCCAUAAAGAAAAUAAACAAGAAUUUAAUGAGUCUGGAACUAGAGGAAAGAUUUAUUUAACUAGAAAUUCAAAACCCAUUAAAGGACAAGGGAUUUAUAGCACCAUGCGAAAGAUUACAAGAAAACUAAUUAGAAAGAGGGUAGAGAAAUUGAUUUGUGGUGUUUACAGAACUUUUUCCAGGGUUGCGUGAGAGAGAGGCAUGGAUGGAAUAUAAAAAAGAGAAAGGCGGGUGAUGUGGGUAUCGUCUGUUUUCUGUGCAAUUACCGAGAUGGCCCUUUUCUAGCUUUAUUACGAUAAAAUCCACCAAAUCUCACCAUUAAAAGCCUACAAUAGAAAGGUUGAUGUUCUGUAUUCAUGCACUUAAUUACUUUGUAAAGCCCCCCAGACCAGAGUCG
rnacentral:misc_RNA from 1 species